AACGAACGCUGGCGGCAUGCCUUACACAUGCAAGUCGAACGGCAGCACGGGAGCAAUCCUGGUGGCGAGUGGCGAACGGGUGAGUAAUAUAUCGGAACGUGCCCGGUCGUGGGGAUAACGUAGCGAAAGCUACGCUAAUACCGCAUACGAUCUAUGGAUGAAAGCGGGGGAUCGCAAGACCUCGCGCGAUUGGAGCGGCCGAUAUCAGAUUAGGUAGUUGGUGAGGUAAAGGCUCACCAAGCCGACGAUCUGUAGCUGGUCUGAGAGGACGACCAGCCACACUGGGACUGAGACACGGCCCAGACUCCUACGGGAGGCAGCAGUGGGGAAUUUGGACAAUGGGCGCAAGCCUGAUCCAGCAAUGCCGCGUGCAGGAUGACGGGUCCUAUGGAUUGUAAACUGCUUUUGUACAGGAGAACCCUUUCACGUGUGGAGAUUGACGGUACUGUAGGAUAAGGAUCGGCUAACU
rnacentral:rRNA from 1 species